CGUAUGUGAGAGAAAGGUGUAGCAAAGGCGACUUAUCAGUAAAUAUGCCGCGGAUUAUUUUGCUUUUCUUCUGCUGGAUGGUCAGAAUUGCAUCAGGCUGCAAUCUGCAAGAUACGAACAGUAUUAAAGUCACUAAAUAUCCUGGUGAAUAUGUUCUCCUGCCGUGCUCCUGUGCUAAUCUCCAGGAUGAACCUCACCACUUAAGAUGGAUGAAAAACACACACCAACAGAUUUAUCCCACCAAAUCUCACCUCCCGGACAGGAUUCACAUGUUUAAUCAGGAAUCUCCAGGAAAUCUCUCCCUGCUCAUAUCAGACCUGACUAAAGAGGAUGAGGGAAACUACAGGUGUGAGGGCUGGACCUCCAGCUACAGAGACAUCACACUUACAGUUAAAGAAUGCUCUCUAAUGGAAAAGAACACAAGAUUUGAGAUUGUGAAAAGCUCAGGAGAAUCUGUGCUGCUGCCCUGCUCCUGUUCUCCUCUGCAUGUCAAACCUGAGAGUGUGAACUGGGAUGUCUUCAGAUGGAGAGGGUCUCCAAAUGGCUUACCCAUGGAAGUACCCAGUACAAGUGGACCCUAUAGAGGCAGAGUUCAGAUGUUUAAGCAUCUUUCACCAGGAAAUGCUUCUCUGCUCAUAUCAGACCUGACUGAGGAGGACCAGGGAAUAUAUAGGUGCUUUCUUAAUAAACAGGUUCAGGGAAAUUAACCUCCUUAUUAAAGCAAGCGUGUUGCCAUCUAAAGCACCACCUAAAACACACACACCAGUAACUAAAGAAAAAGACUCAUCGAGGAACGGAGGAACCAAAACACCUUUAUACAUCUUCAUCCUUGUUGCUGUGCUGCUGUUGUUACUGCUGCUGGGAGUGGUCAUAUUCCUGUACAUGAGACACAAAGGCCAAAAAGGGGAAAUGACAAAAUCAGGACAGAUACAAGAGGAUGAGCAAAAGGAUGACACUAGGGUGUACUGCACUGUUCAGGAAACCAGAGAUGACAUGUUCACACGAGUAGAAAACCAGGACGAGGUGACCUACUCAACCGUGAUCCAUAGUAACAAACACAGAGCAGCCCAAGUGGAGAUGGACACAGACGACAGCACAGAAUAUGCCAGAAUCAAGAGAACAUGAGCCAAGACACCCUAAUAACCCCUGUGCUACAUGCAAACAUAUUUAUAUUAUAGUGUUUCGGGUUUACCUUUGAGUGUUUCCAACAUUCCAGCAUUUCAUUGUAAUUUGCAAUGUUCACAUCUAUAAUGUUCUAUACUUGUCACGCUGUUAUCACUUUUUGGUAACACUCCAUAAUAAGGUGCCAUAAUAAAUAGCAAACUAAUAAUUACCUAA